rnacentral:rRNA from 1 species
CCUACGGGAGGCAGCAGUGGGGAAUAUUGGACAAUGGGGGGAACCCUGAUCCAGCCAUGCCGCGUGUGUGAAGAAGGCCUUUUGGUUGUAAAGCACUUUAAGCGAGGAGGAGGAGCUCUAGAUUAAUACUCUAGAUGCUUGGACGUUACUCGCAGAAUAAGCACCGGCUAACUCUGUGCCAGCAGCCGCGGUAAUACAGAGGGUGCAAGCGUUAAUCGGAUUUACUGGGCGUAAAGCGUGCGUAGGUGGUCUUUUAAGUCGGAUGUGAAAUCCCUGAGCUUAACUUAGGAAUUGCAUUCGAUACUGGGAGACUAGAGUAUGGGAGAGGAUGGUAGAAUUCCAGGUGUAGCGGUGAAAUGCGUAGAGAUCUGGAGGAAUACCGAUGGCGAAGGCAGCCAUCUGGCCUAAUACUGACACUGAGGUACGAAAGCAUGGGGAGCAAACAGGAUUAGAUACCCU